AUUCCAGCUCCAAUAGCGUAUACUAAAGUUGUUGCAGUUAAAAAGCUCGUAGUUGAAUUUCUGGAUGUGAAAGGUGGUCGGCACCUCACGGUGUCUGUACUUAUCAUUCGCGUCCAUCCUCGGGAGGAACAUGUGGACACUUAAGUGGGUCUGCUUGGGAAUCUCGUCAUUUACUGUGAGCAAAAUAGAGUGUUCAAAGCAGGCUUAUGCCGUUGAAUAUAUUAGCAUGGAAUAAUAAGAUACGACUUUGGUCUAUUUUGUUGGUUUACAUUCCAGAGCAAUGAUUAAUAGGGAUAGUUGGGGGCAUUCAUAUUUCAUUGCCAGAGGUGAAAUUCUUGGAUUUAUGAAAGAUGAACUUCUGCGAAAGCAUUUGCCAAGGAUGUUUUCAUUA
rnacentral:rRNA from 1 species